AUUGCCAGUGCAAUGUUCAAAACGACUGACUGAAUUGUGUGUAUGUCUGUGAGCAGCCAGAUUAGAAACAAGAGUGAACUGUGAAGUCAAGAAGCAGAGAUAGAGUGUGCCAACUACUAAAACUAGCUGAGCGAUUUCGCCUCCAAGCUCGCAUCAGUGGGAUGGAAAGCUGAGCAGACAAUGGGAGGAACUGCAUCAAAAGUUGGAAAAGCCUUUGGGCUGGUGUCAGAUGAGGGCCAUGACGACUCGGAUAAUCGGAUCGAUUUGCAGCAAGCAGUAGCUGGAGUCAAAGUAUCUGCCCACGUAUGGACAAGAGCAAGUGCGCAGUUCUUUGAUGAAGACGGACAUAUCGCACACCAAUUUUACGAAGAAGUGGAAGUAGCGCCAAACAAGUGGAUCAUGCGCGAGAUCUCACGCGCCUUCCUCAAACCUGUGGGACGCAUAUUCCUAAAAACGCCAGAUCUGCAUGUUGACAGCAACAUAGUAUUGUGCCCGAUGAUGGAGGGAGACGCACUUGGGAGCUAAGUGGCCUUUUGAAAAUUGAUUCGUUGAUUCCCUUUGUGUAUAUUCUGUACAUAUGCUUUCUCUUGUGUAUAGCUUUUUUUCCCUUGCCUCAGUGUGUAGUACAACAACAAGCCUCUUUUCCAAUAUCAAUGCCUACUGUGAUGGCAUCAGCAGAGCACUGGAUUCUCUGCGUAUUCUCUUUCUUACAAAUCCCUGCUGUAAAUAGGCCCUCUCUUUUCUCCUCCUAUCUUCUUGGUCUUCUGUAUAUUGGCCACCAUGUUUUACUAUUUCGCAAUACGGUAUCUUGAACUUGUCCUGUAAUUACAUGCAUGUGAGUAUAUUUUGCAAUUGCUACUACUCUUUCUCUCUCUCUCUCUCUCUCUCUCUCUCUCUCUCUCUCUCUCUCUCUCUCUCUCUCUCUCUCUCUCUCUCUCUCUCUCUCUCUCUCUCUCUCUCUCUCUCGCAGCAUUCCUUUUUCUCCUGUAUAAAGCUGGUGCUAGGUUUCGUGCUUCAUUUCUCAAAUUUGAAAUAUUUUCGGAAAUUUUGGUCAUCCAAAAUGAUGUAAUUCGUGAACUUUUA